AGGGCAUGUAUGACGGACUUCUAAUCCUGUAAAUCCUUUUGGAGUGCCUUU
rnacentral:tRNA from 1 species